rnacentral:rRNA from 1 species
UGAGUACGAGAUGCUACGGCAUCGAAGCAGUCUAUGUCAUACUUCCAAGAAAAGCUUGCAAUGUCAUAAACAAAUAAUGCCUGUACCAUAACCGACACAGGUGGGUAGGUAGAGUAUACUAAGGGGCGCGAGAUAACUCUCUCUAAGGAACUCGGCAAAAUGACUCCGUAACUUCGGGAGAAGGAGUGCCUUAUUUUUAUAAGGUUGCAAUAACAAGAUCCAAGCAACUGUUUACCAAAAACACAGGUCUCCGCUAAGUCGUAAGACGAUGUAUGGGGGCUGACGCCUGCCCAGUGCCAGAAGGUUAAAGAAGUUGGUUAGCAUUAGCGAAGCUGAUAACUGAAGCCCUGGUGAACGGCGGCCGUAACAAUAACGGUCCUAAGGUAGCGAAAUUCCUUGUCGGGUAAGUUCCGACCCGCACGAAAGGCGUAAUGAUUUGGAUACUGUCUCGGAGAGGGGCUCGGUGAAAUAGACUUGUCUGUGAAGAUGCGGACUACCUGCACCUGGACAGAAAGACCCUAUGAAGCUUUACUGUAACUUGAGAUUGAAAUUGGACUUUAUCUGCGCAGUAUAGGUGGGAGACGUUGAAAAUAUUCUUGCGGGAAUAUUGGAGUCAUCAGUGAGAUACCACUCUUAUAAUGUUAGAUUUCUAACUUUGUAUCAUUAUCUGGUCAAAGAACAGUUUCAGGCGGGCAGUUUGACUGGGGCGGUCGCCUCCCAAACGGUAACGGAGGCGCACAAAGGUUUCCUCUGAACGUCUAGAAAUCGUAUCUAGAGUGUAAAGGCAUAAGGAAGCUUGACUGUGAGACCUACAAGUCGAGCAGGGACGAAAGUCGGUCUUAGUGAUCUGACGGUGCUGAGUGGAAAGGCCGUCACUCAACGGAUAAAAGUUACUCUAGGAUAACAGGCUGAUCUCCCCCAAGAGUUCACAUCGACGGGGAGGUUUGGCACCUCGAUGUCGGCUCAUCGCAUCCUGGGGCGGUAGUACGUCCCAAGGGUUGGGCUGUUCGCCCAUGAAAGCGGUACGCGAGCUGGGUUCAGAACGUCGUGAGACAGUUCGGUCCAUAUCCGGUGUAGGCGUUAGAAUAUCGAGAGGAGCCUUCUUUAGUACGAGAGGACCGAGAAGGACAUACCUCUGGUGUACCAGUUAUCGUGCCAACGGUAAACGCUGGGUAGCCAUGUAUGGAGAGGAUAACCGCUGAAAGCAUCUAAGUGGGAAGCCCACCUCAAGAUAAGUAUUCUC